UGCUGCAUUUUCAUUCAAAUCUUCCCCCAGCGACUCAGAACACGCGAUAAUUAUCGUCUCAAGUGCCCGAUUAUAAAACCUCUUCACCUCCCGGGCGCUCUAUAGCCGAGCAUUGUGUGUGCCGGGCAGCUGCGGAGCAGAGCAGGCGGCAGGCAGUGGCUCAGGGAGGUCAGGCGGUCGGGGCGCCUCAUGCACUGAAGUUCUCGUCCCUUAUGUCCGAGGAGUGCGGGGGAGCAGCGCUGAGCAUGGGCCGGAGCCGCAAGAGCGAGGGGAGCCUGCUUCAGGGAAGCCCCGGGGUGGCGUUAGAUGAGGAU